rnacentral:lncRNA from 1 species
GGAGAAUAGAACCGCAGUGGAGGGUAGGGUAAUCAAUAGAGAGCUAUUUGGAUUCACAACUGAAGUAAAUGCGCAUUGGUUCGGACGGUUUGCUUUUAAUUGGGUUGCAGCGAAGCUACAGUCAGACACAGGAGAAGAGAAGAGAAGAGAGAGUUUUAGAGAGCGAGCUUGGAGCUCUUUCAGGUGUUUCACACAACAAUUCAAAACAGUGUUGUUGUUUUGUUGUGUGGAGUGGAACCAUUUUUCUGCACCAUUUUACUCUUAUUUGGUGUCUACUUUAUGUGGUGUCACAUUUUGGGAUCUGGGUUUCCUGGUAUAGCGUCUGAGGUUUUGAUUUUCCUCUCUUUAUCGGGUUUCUAGCAAUUUGUCAACGUUUGGACUAUCUAUGAACACGGGAUUUUAUUUUCUUGGCUUUUCUUGAAUCUUAGGGGGUCUUGAUUUUCUUUGGGUUUUAGUGUUUUUUUCUUCUCUCUCCUACAUCUGGAAUACUGAUUUUUUCAUCUGCAAACUUUUACUCUAUUCCCCUCUUUUAUUCUGAGUCUUGAAGAAGGUUAAUCUAGGGCUUUUCUUUAACUGGUUUUAGAUCAGCUAAAGUUGAGCUCUUUUGACCCAAUCUCUGCUGCGUGUGUUUGAAUUUCUUCUUAAAGCAAAGUCUCAGGGGGGCUUUCCUUUAUGUUAUCUACGAUUUGUUUUUUGAAAGCAAAGGUUUAUUCUGGGAUUGCUUUUAGUCUGAUUCCUUUUGCUUUCUCAGUCUAGGGUUUGAACUUAAACAUACUUUCUUGGCAUUUGGGGUUGGAUGAGCUGAACAAAAUCCUCUAUUCU